rnacentral:misc_RNA from 1 species
AAAGAUUAUUAAGUCCAAGGACUUGCACCUUUAUAGACAUUUGGAGAAGCUGCAAGCUGAGGACUGUUUUUUCGUGUACAGGAUGGUGGUGGUGUUGUUUCGGAGAGAGCUGAGUUUUGAACAGACGGUGAGCCUAUGGGAGGUGAUGUGGGCGGAUCAGGCAGCGAUCCGUGCAGGUAUCGGUAAGUCUUCGUGGGGGAGGAUUAGAUUGCGU